rnacentral:rRNA from 1 species
ACGCUAGCUACAGGCUUAACACAUGCAAGUCGUGGGGCAUCAUGAUGUAGUAAUACAUUGAUGGCGACCGGCGCACGGGUGAGUAACGCGUAUCCAACCUACCCUCCACUCAAGUAUAGGCUUCCGAAAGGGAGAUUAAUCCUUGAUAUCGUCAUUCUCUCUCCUGUUAGAAUGAUAAAAGGACAUCGUUUCGGUAGAGGAUGGGGAUGCGUUCCAUUAGGUAGUAGGUGGUUUAACAGGCCACCUAGCCGAUGAUGGAUAGGGGUUCUGAGAGGAAUAUCCCCCACACUGGUACUGAGAUACGGACCAGACUCCUACGGGAGGCAGCAGUGAGGAAUAUUGGUCAAUGGGCGCAAGCCUGAACCAGCCAUGUAGCGUGAAGGAUGACGAUUUUUUUGAUUGUAAACUUCUUUUCUGUGCGAUUAAAGUGUGGCAUUUAUGCCAUAUUGCAGUUAUCUCAGGAAUAAGCAUCGGCUAACUCCGUGCCAGCAGCCGCGGUAAUACGGAGGAUGCGAGCGUUAUCCGGAUUUAUUGGGUUUAAAGGGAGCGUAGAUGGUUUUUUAAGUCAGCUGUCAAAUGUAUGGGCUCAACCCUUAUUAUCAGUUGAAACUGUAAGACUUGAGUGCGGUGUGGGUACAUGGAAUUCGUGGUGUAGCGGUGAAAUGCAUAGAUAUCACGAAGAACUCCGAAAGCGUAGGCAUUGUACCAUAGCGCCACUGACAUUGAUGCUCGAAGGUGCGGGAAUCAAACAGGAUUAGAUACCCUGGUAGUCCGCACAGUAAACGAUGAAUGCUCGGCGUUGUCGAUAUACUGUCAGCGUCCAAGCGAAAGCGUUAAGCAUUCCACCUGGGGAGUACGCCGGCAACGGUGAAACUCAAAGGAAUUGACGGGGGCCCGCACAAGCGGAGGA